AUAUAUUUGUGCUUAUGCUCUGUAGUGUCCGACUCUUUGCAACACUUGGGACUGUAGCCUGCCAGGCUCCUCUGUCUAUGGAGAUUCUCCAGGCAAGAAUACUGAAGUGGGUUACCAUUUCCUACUCCAGGGGAUCUUAAUCCGGAGAUUGUCUUAUGUCUCCCGCAUUGGCAGGCAGUGUCAAAAAUGAGGAUUCCCUUGACACAUCUAUCUCUUUGGUUUGGGGAAACAAAGCAUCCUGCUUUCUUGGCAAUCUGCACUUCCUGAAACAGACUGCCUUCCUAGAGUUUGUCACAUUGAGAGCAGAUGAAAGUAAAUACCAAAAGCCUGGAAAAGGAAAUGGCAACCCACUCCAGUAUUCUUGUUUGGAGAAUCCCAUGGACAGAGGAGCCUGGCAGGCUAUGGUCCAUGGGGUUGCAAGGGUCAGACACAACUUAGCAACUAAACCACAAAUACCAAAAGAAACUACUUAAAGAGUUUCCAUUCCGCAUGGGGUGGAAUGAGAUAGAAAAAUGUUGCUUUUCCUUCUGAGCUCUGUGUAGUUGUUUUUUUCUGUAUAGUAUUUUGAAUUUUUUAUUUGUAUGUAUUAAUUACAUAGCAAAAACAUUUAUUUUUCUAAAUGAAGCAAGGUAAAGAUAGAGGGCUAUGAAUUUGAAGCAAAUGGAGAUUAUUUGAAAUGAUUAUUUUUUCUUUCUUUAAACAUUGUAUCUUAGGCUCUAGAUUAGAUCCAGAAGUAAAGGACAACUGGGUCAAAAUGAUAAAUAUCCAGGCAAACAACUGACCUAAACAUUGUAUACCAUUUUCAGGAAUAGCUAGUAAUUCAAACUGAAUCCAGAGAACACUUCACACGUAAGUACAUGAUAGAAAGAAUCCUUUUAUUUAAAACAGGAGGGGAGUGUUCAAGUGUGUGUAUUUUGUGUGUGUGUGUGAGUGUGUGUGUGUGUGUGUAUGUAUGUGUAAACAUUUAGGAAAAUUACAAACUCUGACUAUAACAUAUAUUGUACAUGUUGAGUCUAAUAAAUCCUGAUACUCAAGAAAAUAUUUUCAAAUUACUCUUGGAUAAUUUAUUAAUCAAUCAUCUUUUCAAUGUCUAAAGAAAUUUCAGUCACAAAGCAUCUAACUGCAUUUAAAAUAAAAAGAUGAAAACAAGCUACCUAUUGGAAAAUUACUUCAAGACUUUAGAAAAGUUGGGACAACUACAGGCAAGAACCAAGGACAUAUAUUCAAUCACAAUUUCAAGUGUCUAAUAGUGAUAACACAAAGUCCCUGAAAGCAGUAGAUUGAUUAUACUUUUAAUUUAAAAUUUUAUCCAUGAUAAUAUUCUUAGUUAUAAUACAUUUAAUUGCAAAACAACCUGUCUUAGAAUAAUGUAGUGUGAGAUGCAUGGGAC
ensembl:lncRNA